rnacentral:rRNA from 1 species
GUGAACCUGCGGAAGGAUCAUUACCGAGUGCGGGCCCUCGCGGCCCAACCUCCCACCCGUGUCUAUUUUACCUGUUGCUUCGGCGGGCCCGCCUUUACUGGCCGCCGGGGGGCUCACGCCCCCGGGCCCGCGCCCGCCGAAGACACCCUCGAACUCUGUCUGAAGAUUGUAGUCUGAGUGAAAAUAUAAAUUAUUUAAAACUUUCAACAAUGGAUCUCUUGGUUCCGGCAUCGAUGAAGAACGCAGCGAAAUGCGAUACGUAAUGUGAAUUGCAAAUUCCGUGAAUCAUCGAGUCUUUGAACGCACAUUGCGCCCCCUGGUAUUCCGGGGGGCAUGCCUGUCCGAGCGUCAUUGCUGCCCUCAAGCACGGCUUGUGUGUUGGGUGUGGUCCCCCGAUUCCGGGGGACGGGCCCGAAAGGCAGCGGCGACGUCCGUCUGGUCCUCGAGCGUAUGGGGCUCUGUCACCCGCUCGGGAGGCCCGGCCGGCGCUUGCCGGAUCAACCCAAAUUUUUAUCCAGGUUGACCUCGGAUCAGGUAGGGAUUACCCGCUGAACUUAAGCAUAUCAAUAAGC